CGGCACCCGAGGUCACCUCGGGUCACGCCCGACGUCUGAGACUGUGACCGGUGAACGCCUCCCGGAGCCCCGUGAGUCCACUUCCUGGGUUGAACGCCACUUGCACUGAUGCCGUGAAAGGUCAAAGUGCCGUAUUGUUCUUGAACGUCUCGUCAAAGUUGAGCCGUGAACUUGAGGACAAGCAGGGGAAGGGCGUCCACGUUCCCAGUCAAGUGGAGCUUUCCAGAUGUUGUGCCGAGGACGUGACCCGCCGACAGCCUUUCAAACCAAAACAACCUCAUCUCUGUCUGGAGGGAGCGCACACACACACACGCACAAAAUACACUUUCAUUAGGCGUGCAUGGUACAGUAUGUGACUGCUACUUAAUCUGAGAAGGCUGCAUUUCCACUGCUGUACAGAGUUCAAAUUCCCAUUUUUGCGUCAGGAUGGAAUGCAUACAGAUACGCACAAAAGACACGUUAGUCAGGAAUCAUACGGCAUAGUUGAGUUUGAUGCAAGCUCGUCAAUCCUUGGCUAGAUUUACACUCCAUGGUUCAUGUGACCCGAUUCCCAUUUUCAUUUUAGGAUGGAGCAUUGUUCAACUUUUAAGUGCCAUCGAUGCGUGCUCGUACAUUUACGGCUGCGUUUGUACUGCAUACAUCGAGUGACCCACUUUGGAGUUUGAUCUCAGGACGGAGCGCGUACACGUCCGCAAACCGCGGCGAGGUUGACCCGCACGACACUCGGCAGCCGCGAGCGGCCGAGCGCUCGAAUGGCCUUCUCGCUAUCGCGCCGCUUCCUGUGCAGCUUCCCCGUUUGCGCGCUGAAACUUCCCAGAAAGUUCCCUGCCUGCCCGAGGCGGCGGUGGGAAUACAUACGAUAAAGGUGAAGUAAGAUGUGGGAAGGAAAAACACCAGGCAAAACAUUAGGUACGCCCGCGCGCCCUGCCGUAUGGAACGUUUUCCCGCAUGGCUCCCCUCCGGGCUGCCGCCUUGAAAUCAUUCCGGAACGACGGGACUCCCGGCAGGAGGUCUGGUCUCGGUCUCCCUCUGCACCUGCGAGUCAACACCGAGCAGAUGUGAACUUUUCACAUGCCGGCUUGCGGGUCGUGCGAAGCGCUACAAACGUACAGUCAGUGAGGAAUCAUACGGAUAGUUGAAUGUCAGUUUAGUAUGGAUCUGUACUGCAUUGCUCAAAUGACACAAUUCUGUUUUUUUUUUUUAUUUGUUUCAGGAUGGAGAGCACGUAAAAUACAUCUUAGUGACCCGAUCAUUUUUCUGGAAUCAAUAUAUAUAUAUAUAUAUAUAUAUAUAUAUAUAUAUAGUAAGUUCAAGCCCUUCCAUGUCCUCAUCUGUUUUGCUCAUUAGGACCAAUCAGAGCGACGACUCUGGAGAAGGCCGCCUGUGAAACGAUCUACUUGAGCGUUCGCCAAGAGGGAUGGAGUGGGAAUUUGUCCAGCUUGCACUACAUGUGCAGUGGGAAAUGUUUGACCUGCUGGAUUUAUAAAAAAAAAACAAAAAAAAAAAGAUACUUCCUCGCUGCUCUCCCUGCGUGAUGCUCUGGAGUGGACAUUCCUGCUGCCAGAAGGAAUCAUACAUCAACCGGGAUGACCUUUCCAGUCUUUUGUUGUUUUAAACCCUGCCGAAACGUCCCUGGAUUAAGCGCAACGAAUCAAAGGCAGGAAGCCAUUUUGGCUCUAUUAGAGGCGAUGGUUACCAGGAAUAAAUAGGCCAUUUUGACAAAUCAGCUUUAUUCAAAUCCACACAUUUGUUGCCCACAAUUUGAAGGAUUUGAGGGCCACACACCCAAAAGAAAAGAAAAAAAUGUUGACGCUCAUGAAACUGAGCCUGUCGGGGGUCCGGCGUGUUCUUCCCGAGCCACGCAUGCGCAUCACGCCUCCUUCACGUAUGUCCUCACCGCCACCACAUCUCCCAUGAUGCACCUCUGCGGGAACACGGCAUUCAAAAAAAAAAAAAAAAAACAAGCCACGAAAACAAUGAGCUCAGGGAUCACAAUAUUAGGUACACCUGCAUACCUUGAUGAAAUCAUAAUGUCUAAAAAUACUAAUACAAUUUUGCUAAAAAUAUUAAUAUUGUUGUU